rnacentral:rRNA from 1 species
UACAGAGGAGCCAAGCGUUGUCCGGAUUGACUGGGCGUAAAGCGCACGCAGGCGGGUGCGCGCGUGGGGGGUGAAAUCUGGCCGCUUAACGGCCAGGCGCCAUCCCAUACGGCGCGUCUGGAGUGAUGCAGAGGUCGAUGGAAUUGCCGGUGUAGUGGUGAAAUGCGUAGAGAUCGGCAGGAACACCCAGGGGGAAACCAGUCGACUGGGCAUCUACUGACGCUGAGGUGCGAGAGCGUGGGGAGCGAACCGG